rnacentral:tRNA from 1 species
GCUCUUGUAAGUAAAAGGUUAUACUAGGUGACUCAUAAUCACUCAUUCUUGGUUCAAGUCCAAGCGAGAGCA